rnacentral:rRNA from 1 species
GAGUUUGAUCGUGGCUCAGGAUGAACGCUGGCGGCGUGCCUAACACAUGCAAGUCGAGCGAAGCAUACAGGAGGAAGUUUUCGGAUGGAAUCCUGCAUGGCUGAGCGGCGGACGGGUGAGUAACGCGUGGGUAACCUGCCUUAUACAGGGGAGUAACAGUUAGAAAUAGACUGCUAAUACCGCAUAAGCGCACAGUACCGCAUGGUAGUGUGUGAAAAACUACCGGUGGUAUAAGAUGGACCCGCGUCUGACUAGCCAGUUGGCGAGGUAACGGCUCACCAAGGCGACGAUCAGUAGCUGGUCUGAGAGGAUGAUCCGCCACACUGGGACUGAGACACGGCCCAGACUCCUACGGGAGGCAGCA